rnacentral:tRNA from 1 species
GCCGGGGCAGCUUAGCCUGGUAGAGCGCGGGGCUCAUAGGGCCCGAUGACCCCGAGGGGUGACCGGCCUGGGAUACCCCGAGGUCCCGGGUUCAAAUCCCGGCCCCGGCA